rnacentral:rRNA from 1 species
GAUGAACGCUGGCGGCGUGCCUAAUACAUGCAAGUCGAGCGAACAGAUAAGGAGCUUGCUCCUUUGACGUUAGCGGCGGACGGGUGAGUAACACGUGGGUAACCUACCUAUAAGACUGGAAUAACUUCGGGAAACCGAAGCUAAUGCCGGAUAACAUGUUGAACCGCAUGGUUCUACAGUGAAAGAUGGCCUUGCUAUCACUUAUAGAUGGACCCGCGCCGUAUUAGCUAGUUGGUAAGGUAACGGCUUACCAAGGCAACGAUACGUAGCCGACCUGAGAGGGUGAUCGGCCACACUGGAACUGAGACACGGUCCAGACUCCUACGGGAGGCAGCAGUAGGGAAUCUUCCGCAAUGGGCGAAAGCCUGACGGAGCAACGCCGCGUGAGUGAUGAAGGUCUUCGGAUCGUAAAGCUCUGUUAUUAGGGAAGAACAAGUGCGUAAGUAACUGUGCGCACCUUGACGGUACCUAAUCAGAAAGCCACGGCUAACUACGUGCCAGCAGCCGCAGUAA